UACGAAGGGGGCGAGCGUUGUUCGGAUUUACUGGGCGUAAAGGGCGCGCAGGCGGCGCAUUUUGUCAGGCGUGAAAGCCCCGGGCUUAACCUGGGACUGCGUUUGAUACGGAUGGGCUAGAGUUCGGGAGAGGAGAGUGGAAUUCCCAGUGUAGAGGUGAAAUUCGUAGAUAUGGGAAGAACACCGGUGGCGAAGGCGGCUCUCUGGACCGAGACUGACGCUGAGG
rnacentral:rRNA from 1 species